rnacentral:rRNA from 1 species
UACGAAGGGGGCUAGCGUUGUUCGGAAUUACUGGGCGUAAAGGGCGCGUAGGCGGUGUGUCAAGUCAGGCGUGAAAGCCCCGGGCUCAACCUGGGAACCGCGCUUGAGACUGGCACGCUAGAGUUCGGGAGAGGAUGGUGGAAAUUCCCAGUGUAGAGGUGAAAUUCGUAGAUAUUAGGAAGAACACCGGUGGCGAAGGCGGCCCACUGGUCCGGUACUGACGCUGAGGUGCGAAAGCGUGGGGAGCAAACAGG